AUACGUAGGUGGCAAGCGUUGUCCGGAAUUAUUGGGCGUAAAGCGCGCGCAGGCGGUCUUUUAAGUCUGAUGUGAAAGCCCACGGCUCAACCGUGGAAGGUCAUUGGAAACUGAAGGACUUGAGUACAGAAGAGGAAAGCGGAAUUCCACGUGUAGCGGUGAAAUGCGUAGAGAUGUGGAGGAACACCAGUGGCGAAGGCGGCUUUCUGGUCUGUAACUGACGCUGAGGCGCGAAAGCGUGGGGAGCAAACAGGAUUAGAUACCCUGGUAGUCCACGCCGUAAACGAUGAGUGCUAAGUGUUAGGGGGUUUCCGCCCCUUAGUGCUGCAGCAAACGCAUUAAGCACUCCGCCUGGGGAGUACGGCCGCAAGGCUGAA
rnacentral:rRNA from 1 species